GAGCACGUAGGUGGGUUUGUAAGUCAGAUGUGAAAGCCUUCUGUUCAACGGAAGAAUUGCAUCUGAAACUGCAAACCUUGAGUGUAGGAGGGGAGAAUGGAACUUCUGGUGGAGCGGUGAAAUGCGUAGAUAUCAGAAGGAAUGCCGGCGGCGAAAGCGAUUCUCAGGCCUAUAACUGACACUGAGUGUGCGAAAGCUAGGGGAGCAAACGGGAUUAGAUACCCCGGUAGUCCUAGCCGUAAACGAUGGGCACUAAGUAGAGGGGUUU
rnacentral:rRNA from 1 species